AUUGAACGCUGGCGGCAGGCCUAACACAUGCACGUCGAACGAGUGGCGGACGGGUGAGUAAUGUCUGGGAAACUGCCUGAUGGAGGGGGAUAACUACUGGAAACGGUAGCUAAUACCGCAUACCAUCGGAUGUGCCCAGAUGUGAUUAGCUAGUAGGUGGGGUAAAGGCUCAACUAGGAGACUAUCCCUAGCUGGUCUGAGAGGAUGACCAGCAACACGGGAACUGUGACACGGGCCAUACUCCGACGGGAGGCAGCAGUGGGGAAUAGUGCACAAUGGGCGCAAGCCUGAUGCAGCCAUGACGAGUGUAUGAAGAAGGCCUGCGGGUUGUAAAGUACUUGCAGCGGGGAGGCGUUACCCGCAGAAGAAGCACCGGCUAACUCCGUGCCAGCCGCCGCGGUAAUUC
rnacentral:rRNA from 1 species